UACGGGGGGGGCAAGCGUUGUUCGGAAUUACUGGGCGUAAAGGGUGCGUAGGCGGUGCUCUAAGUCGGAUGUGAAAACUCUGGGCUCAACCCAGAGCCUGCAUCCGAAACUGGAGUGCUAGAGUUCUGGAGGGGGUAGCGGAAUUCCUGGUGUAGCGGUGAAAUGCGCAGAUAUCAGGAGGAACACCGGUGGCGAAGGCGGUUCUCUGGGCCUUACCUGACGCUGAGGAGCGAAAGCGUGGGGAGCGAACAGG
rnacentral:rRNA from 1 species